UAUGUUACUUAUUUAAUUUAGAAUUGGCUGUGAGCGCCCAACAAUUACUGUGUAUUCUUAGGGGAAUUUGUGAAGUGAGAAAACUGAACCUAUGUGGAGCCAACAACUGUUUUUCUAUCUGGGUUUCAUGCAGUUUUCCAGGCCCCUGACAAGCUCUGACCUCUGGGAUCUCGCUGUGCUGAUAUGUUUUAUUUCAAGCAUGAAGAGUCACAUUCUGCUUAAAAAUCCAGGAGGCAUUUUUCCAGUAUACAAACAAAAGGAAGUAAGGAGACAUGAUGAAGGAAGACCACCAGGAGCCUAGAGAUAACUUACAAUUCCCUUUCCAAAGGAAGGGUCAUUCUUUACAUUCUGUUAUUUUAUAACUAAUUCAUUUACACAGAUUUUCAGUAUAAGUUAAUUAUGGAACUUACAGGAAUAUUCAUAUGAUUUUUCUUCUUUGCUCUCUUGCCUUAGACAUUUGACUUGUUAAAAAUGUUGAAUAAAUUUUCCCAAAGAGA